AAGUCGUAACAAGGUUUCCGUAGGUGAACCUGCGGAAGGAUCAUUAACGAGUUAGGGUCUCCUAGGCCCGAUCUCCCAACCCUUUGUUUACCAAACCAUUUUGUUGCUUCGGCGAGCCCGUCUUCACGGACCGCCGGGGGACCUGCUCAAGGACCCCUGGCCCGCGCUCGUCGGUGGCCCAAACCUUUAAAUUCUUAACUAAACCUGUCAUGUCUAAGUACCAAUUUUUUAAUUAAAAGCAAAACUUUCAACAACGGAUCUCUUGGUUCUG
rnacentral:misc_RNA from 1 species